AUGGCAUUGGUUUUGAUUAUUGUUCCUCCUGCUUGGAGUAUUCAUACCUCAAUUGGGAUGAUAGAAUUGAUGAUUGGAGUGAAGAAGGCAAAUCCUACAUUUGAAUCUCCAAAAGAGGUCGGAUUCACAUCGAGCUCAUCAAUUUCUGAUAGUAGUUGUGAUGCUAACACACCAAAAUCUCUUAAUAGCCAUGGUUGUUUGUAUCCAUUUGUAUCGAGCUGCAGUAGCACCAAUCAAACUAAACGUUCAUCAAAAGCAGGCUGGACAGAUGAUGAGGAUAAUUUGUUAACCGAUGUAGUCAUGAAAUACAACGCUAGGAACUGGAAGAAAAUUGCUGAACGAAUACCAGGAAGGACAGAUGUACAGUGCUUACAUCGAUGGCAAAAGGUUCUAAAUCCUGAAAUUGUGAAAGGACCAUGGACAAAAGAGGAAGAUGACCAUAUUAUAAAAAUGGUUGAGGCUCAUGGUUGUAUGAAAUGGUCAGUUAUUGCAAAGGAUUUACCAGGUCGAAUUGGGAAACAAUGCAGAGAGAGGUGGCAUAAUCAUUUAGAUCCUGCUAUAAAAAAAAGAAGCAUGGAGUAAAGAAGAGGAAUCAAGCUUAACAUAUUAUCACCAGAUAUUUGGGAACAAAUGGGCAGAAAUAGCUAGAUUUCUACCUGGAAGGACUGGCAAUGCUAUAAAAAACCAUUGGAAUUGCUCAUUGAAGAAGAAGUUGGAUUUAAACAUUCCACACAUUCUACCAAUUACUGUUCAUGAAACUACACACACUGAUUCCAUUUCCGAUGGUGAAAAAAGUGGACUAGAAAAUGAUUCCAUUGCUUGUAUAACAAACUUAGCUCUAGGAAUGGAUGAUUCCAUUCCCAGCGUUGAUGGUGAAGAAUGUCUAGGGUUUGCCAGGUUCGCAAAAGGAUGCGGGUUUAAACCACCGGUAACUUGUUUUGAACCUCGUAAAAAGCGGAAGAUCCACGGAACCAACGAUUUGAAUCUCGGAUCUUCACCAGAUUCGUCGUUUCUAAGCUUAUCGAGAUUCGGAUCAAGCAAAUAUGGUGAAUCUCCAAGUUUUGGAUGUCAAAUUGGUCAGUUUUCUUGCUCGACUCCUCCUGAUCUCACACUAAGCAUCUCGUUUAGUGCGAGUUCUUCUGAAUCGAUGUUGAUGAGCUCUACAACGAGUUGCAAAAACGCGAAUUCAUCUGCACAUGAUUGGAAUCGAGAAAUCGAGACUGGUGAUUCGGAAAAUGUGAAGCAAAAUUCGGAUUUGUUGGCUCGUAAAUCUCAACCUUGGUUAGGAAGACGUCUGGAUUAUAUAUUUGAUUCGGCUUGGGAUCCAACGGCUAUCAAUUGCUGUAGUAACUCCAGUUCCAGUUGAUUGUGUGCAGAAAGUAAUAAAGAGUUGAACACCAAUGGUGGUGUAUUGCAAAGCUGAGAAUAAAAUGCAGCUCUUAACUCUUAAGAAUCAAAGCUUCAUAGGUAACUUCCGAUUUUAAAAUUGUUAUUCAAUUUAUUUUUGUAGAAUACAGAGGUAAAUUACACUUUUGCACUUUUUUA